GACGAACGCUGGCGGCGUGCUUAACACAUGCAAGUCGAACGGUAAGGCCCUUCGGGGUACACGAGUGGCGAACGGGUGAGUAACACGUGGGUGAUCUGCCCUGCACUUCGGGAUAAGCCUGGGAAACUGGGUCUAAUACCGGAUAGGACCACUGCCUGCAUGGGUGGUGGUGGACAGCCUUUGCGGUGUGGGAUGGGCCCGCUGCCUAUCAGCUUGUUGGUGGGGUGAUGGCCUACCAAGGCGACGACGGGUAGCCGGCCUGAGAGGGUGACCGGCCACACUGGGACUGAGAUACGGCCCAGACUCCUACGGGAGGCAGCAGUGGGGAAUAUUGCACAAUGGGCGCAAGCCUGAUGCAGCGACGCCGCGUGAGGGAUGACGGCCUUCGGGUUGUAAACCUCUUUCAGCACCGACGAAGCGCAAGUGACGGUAGGUGCAGAAGAAGGACCGGCCAACUACGUGCCAGCCGCCGCAGUAA
rnacentral:rRNA from 1 species